UAUAUAUUUAAUUUCUGGUUUCUGUGUCUAACGUUUGACCGUAUGUUUUAUUUGAAAAAUUAUAAAAAAAUUAAAAAGAUAUGUCACACAUAAAGUAUUAUUCAUAUUUUAUCAUCUAAUAACAAUGAAAAUACUAACCAUAAAAAAAUUUCAUAUAAAACGGACAGUCAAAUGUUGGACACGGAAACCCAGAAAUUGAGUUUUU
rfam:Oryza rufipogon genomic scaffold, chr10